GGAAAUCUCCUUACUAUCACCUCAACAUUCAUCUGACAGGGUCCCAAAGAUACCAGCGCCAAGACAAAACUUUAAUUUUCUUCAUAAUCUUCUGAACAAGAGAAGAAUAUCCAAUUAUAUAUGCAUAUUAAUUUGCAAUGGUGUCUUUAUGCUUUGCUUAAGUUAUGCAUAGAUAACCCACCUCCAAACCUGAAAAUAGACUAUCAAUAACAAAUUUUGAAGUAAAUUAAAUUAAUACGAGUUUGAAGAAAUAAGACAAUCCUUUUUUUUUUUUGUUUCCUGUAGAUCUAAGGAUAUAAAAAAAUCAUCUUCAGUUUAGAGAGUGUCAAACUCGAAACUAUUAACACUAGCAAAUAGAAAUUCAACAAUACAAUCAAAUCAAAAUCAUCAGAAGAAAAUAUUCACACAACAUACAUGAAUUAACACAUUCAAAUAAGUAAAUCAUCCAAUAGGAACUUAC
rnacentral:lncRNA from 1 species